CUGUCGCAAGGGACAGUGAUUGUGGUAAUGAUGGUGGUGUGUUUAGGGAUGCGCGUCCGAGUUGGUGACAUCGGUUGCGAAGACAUGCAGGCUUGUCAGGGGUACAUCCAUAGCAAGAUGAGCAGAGUACCCUACCCACGCUUCGCGGAGCUUCCUGUUAGACCAACGUGAUGAGUGAUUUGCCGCAAAUGGCUUUAGCUAAGUCGAAGAAGUAAAGUAAGAGUAGGCGAAAAGUAUGUAUUGAGAGUUAUCGAGGACAGAAGAGGCAAUAUGAUUGGACACUUAAUAAGACACGACGAGUUUAUUAAAAACAUCAUAGAAGGGAAGCUACAAGGAAAGAGAGGAAGGGGAAGACCAAGAAGAGCCUAUAUGGAACAAAUUAAAGAGAAGGCGA